ACUGUGUUCAAACUGAUCGCCUGGAUAAGCUAGUCCUUCUCAAACUUUAGCCAUGGAAUCCUGAAAUAUUCUUCAUGGAGGGCUGCACAUAGUUCUCCCUGUUGAAGGAAUAAAAGAUGAAGUCCUCUCCUGUUUUGAAAGACUAUCUCAAACAAGGAGGUUUCUCUUCUCUAAAAUGAAGAUAACCAUGCCAUCCUGACUGUCUCCAGAGGGUCACCACUGCACCCAAACGUGACAAUGCAAGGUUCCCCAAGGCUGAAGACUACCGGUAUGAUAGUAGAGAUGGAAAGGACACACUCCAGCCACUGCCACUUAAAGGCAGCCUGAGAAACAGAAGAAACAAACAGACAGGGAGAAGGGCUGUGCCCUGUUAAAAUGUUCACACAUGCCUCGGCAAAGAUGCUCUGCAAAUCAACAUAGCACCGGGAAGAGCUGAGAAAUGCAGAACCUCCACUCCCUUCCCCAAAACAAGAUGUUAAAGAUUUCCAGAGUCUGGUGUGAUACUGAGGAGACUUUCCAGCCACUACGUGAAGCCUAUAACCGAGGAUCAAAUCUGGAGACCCACACUGAAUGUUUUGCUUCAGCUAAAAUCUUCUGGUUGGAAGGCAUAGCCUUGUUUAUUUAUACCUUGCCCAUGAACAUUUUGAGAGCUGUAGAUUAAGCAGUGACAUAUGGUCUACUGAGGGCCUAAAAAAAAAAAAAUCUGUUUUUUAACAGAGAUGUUUCUUGGCUUCCUUUUGUCCUUCACCAUUCAUGUUACUAGAGGCUGCUGUGAUAAGUCUAUUUUUAUAGGACCUCAAAAAUAAAAUCCUGAU